rnacentral:ncRNA from 1 species
CCUAGGGGUGGCCAAUUUGGUCUGAGAAUUCUGAUACAGAAUAAACCCUAUGAACCUGAUCCAGUUAAUACUGGCGUAGGGACAGGCC